rnacentral:lncRNA from 1 species
AGAGAGCUUGACGCCAAUAUUAAAUGGGAUACCUUUGAAAAUAUUCGACUUCUUUCUAAGAUGGACAAGGAAUUCGGGAAAUCAGUCAGAUAUUUUAAAAAGGUUAUCAUCCGACGGAAGAGCUUGGAGGGGACAAUAGGGAAGUAUCUUCUUGAUUUUGGCAAGAGACGGUUUAUUCCCGAUACUGUUGCUAAGCAUGGAUCCAUGCUUGAAGAACCUUCAAGCAUGAGAAGAAAAUAUUGGCUGGAAGAGUCAUAUGUUCCGCUGCAUCUCUUGAAAGCUUUUGAAGAUAGAAGAAUUGCCCGGAAGAUCUCCAAAACAAGCUCCAGUAAACAUCAAGAGAGUGAAAUUGUGCCUAAAACGUUUUCUAAGAAAGCAGGAUUUGCAUAUCUUUUCUCAAAGGCUGAAGGAUCGGAAUAUCACCCAUGUGGACUCUGCAAGAAAGAUGUUCUGAUCAGGUAUAGGUAUCCAAUUAUGUAAAUAUAUCUUAUCAUCAUGCUUCAAAUCGUCCGUCACUCAACUGAAUAAUUACUAUAAAUUUAUUUCUGCUGCUGCUACUAAUAUAACUAUCUACUGCCUAUAUGAACCCUUUUGUUGACACUUAACCUUUGCUUAGUGUGAAUAGGCACUUGUGAAUUAUGAUCACUGCAGUAAUCUGUAUUACGUAUGCAAGAAACAAACCUGGAAAAUUAAGUAAUAAGACCAAACUCAUGUAUCUAUCUAUCUGAUUUUUAACAGAAUAAUGGACAUGUAUUCUCUAAGCAUCAGAGUAGUUCAGUCGUUUCCUUCUGAUACUGUCAACUGGGAAUGCUGAAUCCUUGUUCACUCCUUUAAUCCUUAUGAUAUCUAUUCCUCACAUUUACCCCUGGCAAAAUUUAUCCUUAUAUUUUUACAAAAUUAGAGUGAUUACGCACAUGAAUUUACCACUCUAUCUUUUACGUGUUUCACUCAAGAUUUCGGAUCUGUCUAUUAAUUCAGGUCUAAUAUAUCUAGUUAUGUGUAUAUUACUUACAAUAGUAUUAAUACAACCCAGACAAUGAUUGCUAAGCUGGCUGCGCGAUAUAUCUAAACUUUAUUUUUAUAUUUUCUUGCUCAGUUCCUUUCAACAUUGGGAAUCUCUGUUUUCUGCCAUAAAACAUUAUAAUUUAAUCAGUUAAAUCCAAUUAUGUACAAGAUACUAAAAUUUAAGGAUUAAAGCCCAUAAAUUAAAGGUCCUAAAUCUUGUAAUUGUACUGCUCUCAGUUGGGUGCUAGUAAGAGAAGAACCCUUAGGUUGGUAGUAGUCAUUGUCUUCUUCUCUAUAGGAUAGGUUUUCGCCAACAAGUCUUGGAUGGAUGCAAUUGUUGGAGAUGUUUAGUGGCUGCUCUUCAGAUGCCGUUAGUUGUCUCGACCUGAUUUGUGUUUUUUAAUUAAUUUUUUUGAUGUCCUAUUUAGUUUUGAUUUAUCUAUUAGAUACUUAAGUUAUACAUAAGCUUAUAAAAGGACAGCUUUGUUUACACAAGUAUUCCUGAUAAUGUUAUAGGAACACACAUGUCUAGAUAUUUAUGCUAGAAAAUUACCCAGUACUUCAAUAGAAGUAACUAACAUAUCUGGUAUUCCAAUGUAGCAACAGAAACAGUUUCAGAGUAACUUUAACAUGUAAUUUGCUAUUAAUUCCUCUCUUUAAAUUUUCGAAUUUUUUUUAUUGAACUAUGGGCAUACGGUAUUUUGUUCAAUGAUUACAAGGAUUCGACUGUUUGAGUGACAGAAAAAGUCAUAUUGACAUUACUGCUUCUCUGAGUGUCUACAGUUUGUCUUUUAAUACUGUUAAUGUGUCUGAUGCUCAGUAGUCAUGCUAAUUUAUACAUUUGUGUUGCAUUUGUAGGGAGGCUGUACUUUGCCAGAAUUGUGAAGGUAAAUAUUUCCUGCUGAAUGUGCUUAUUAUUUUAGUGCUUUCUCCGGUAUAUGUUUCUGUAAAGGUGAAAAGUUGUUUACUUGUGACUGUAUAUAUAGCCGAAUUUCAUUUCACAUUCUAAACAUAUGGUUUGGGUUGAACUAAAUUUGACAACUUCAGAUGCUUCAGCUGAAGAGCUUUAAAAUGCUGAGUAUUAGCACAUCUUUAUAGUAGGAGUGUAGCUUUUAUUAUUAGGUUUGAUUUACUGGCAUCAGUAAUUUAAAUCUUCCUGUUGCCAUGCGAUAUACUAUGCUCGUGUUUGUAGUGUUUCUCUGCUGCAUAUGUAGUCAACUUUGUCAACAAGCAUAAACAUAUUGAAAAAGAGUUUGUCUAAUCUUGGGCUGCAUAUCUGUCUUCGAGUCUUAAUAUUCAAUAUUCUUUUGUUAGUUAGGUGUUUCUUGAACAGUAAAUCUAGUCUUUGUAAGAAGUCUUUAGACUUCUGUACUCAAUCUCACUUUGGGUUCUUUCUUCUUUUGAUGAGUCCAAGAUAUCAUAAGUUUCAUCUGUCUAUGGUCCUGAAUUUUGUUUGUGCAAUACAUUGUGUGAAAACCAGACCUGUCAAGGAAUUUGUGAGUUACUAAGCUGACAGCUAAAUGUCUACAUGCUCUUGGAUCAAUGUGUUCUACAGACUGCUAAAUCUGAUACGAGGGGAAAAAAAUCUGUGAAUCUUAUGUGAGUGUGUGAAAUUGAUGUUAACAGCUUCUUGGCAGUCUGUAGAAUUUUUAGAAUUUGCUCCAUUACUGGUCCGUCUAGACACGAGCAGUUCUCUUUGGGUCUAAUUCUUUUACAGAACAUGUUUUUGAUAUCAGUGACCCCUUGUCACGUCAACCAAAUUUUUGGAGUUCAGAAAAUUCCAAUCAAUAUAUGUGCUUUUUCCCUCUGCUUAUUCUACUGGUAAAAUUUUGGACUGGCUCAUACUGACUUGUCUUUAUGGUGUUGGUUAAUGACAUCUUGAUACUAAUUUUGAAGCCUGUUCCUGAUUAGUUGUUACCCAUUUUUUUGAUGAGAAGGCUGCAAGGUCCUAACCUAUAUAUCUAUACCUACAGCGAUCAUUAAUUAUAUGAUAGAAAUCUUUGAAAUGUCUGUGCUUAAAAUUUACUGUUGAAUAAGUUGCAACUUGGGUCACUUGGUUCACAUAGGUUAAUUUAAUAUAGCAGUACCUUGCAAAAAAAAAUAAAGAGGUGAUAUAGCAGGACGGUUAAAGGAUGUGCAAGAGGGAAAGUACUAUGCCUUCAUAUUGCGUCUAAAUGGUAUGUCUUUAAUAGCAUAAUACUCCCUCCAUCCCACUUAUUUUAUCCAGUGACAGAAGUCCACAAUUAUAGCAAUCAACUGAAAAUUACCAAAUUUAAGCUCACUUAACAUAUUUGCAAAUUUUAGCAAUCAACUGAAAAUCACCAAAUUUAAGCUCACUUGACAUAUUUGCAAAUUUUAACAUAUUUAAUGCUUAAUUUUCUUUUAUAAGAAAUUGUGGUUAAUACUUUUGGGACUCAAAAUAGGAAUUGUGGCCCAAAUAAUUGGGAUGGAGUGAAUAUCUGUUGUAUAGAGUCUCUGCAGAUCUUUUUUUAUUACACCCUCCGUUCCAUUUUUCUUGUCCUCCUAUCAAGAUCCACAAAUCAUAAAAAAUAACCUAUAUGUUGCCAAAUAAUUAUAUUGUUUUUCAGAAAAAUUAACAAAUUUAACAUGUAAUUUACCAUAUUAACUUAAUGUGGACAACCUUUUUGGGACAAAGAAACAAGGAAAUGAGGACUACAAAACUGGAACAGAGGUAUUUUACAAAUUGUCAAGAGCUAUAAAAACUAAUGCUUAGUUUGGUUGUGGCUUGGGANUGUUCUUUAGAUGACACAUUUUGAAUUGUUUUUUUUAGUUAUGUCACUUAUUUGUGUUGCUGAAUAAUUUAUUUACGUAUUUUCAGGUCAGAGAGCUUGACGCCAAUAUUAAAUGGGAUACCUUUGAAAAUAUUCGACUUCUUUCUAAGAUGGACAAGGAAUUCGGGAAAUCAGUCAGAUAUUUUAAAAAGGUUAUCAUCCGACGGAAGAGCUUGGAGGGGACAAUAGGGAAGUAUCUUCUUGAUUUUGGCAAGAGACGGUUUAUUCCCGAUACUGUUGCUAAGCAUGGAUCCAUGCUUGAAGAACCUUCAAGCAUGAGAAGAAAAUAUUGGCUGGAAGAGUCAUAUGUUCCGCUGCAUCUCUUGAAAGCUUUUGAAGAUAGAAGAAUUGCCCGGAAGAUCUCCAAAACAAGCUCCAGUAAACAUCAAGAGAGUGAAAUUGUGCCUAAAACGUUUUCUAAGAAAGCAGGAUUUGCAUAUCUUUUCUCAAAGGCUGAAGGAUCGGAAUAUCACCCAUGUGGACUCUGCAAGAAAGAUGUUCUGAUCAGGUAUAGGUAUCCAAUUAUGUAAAUAUAUCUUAUCAUCAUGCUUCAAAUCGUCCGUCACUCAACUGAAUAAUUACUAUAAAUUUAUUUCUGCUGCUGCUACUAAUAUAACUAUCUACUGCCUAUAUGAACCCUUUUGUUGACACUUAACCUUUGCUUAGUGUGAAUAGGCACUUGUGAAUUAUGAUCACUGCAGUAAUCUGUAUUACGUAUGCAAGAAACAAACCUGGAAAAUUAAGUAAUAAGACCAAACUCAUGUAUCUAUCUAUCUGAUUUUUAACAGAAUAAUGGACAUGUAUUCUCUAAGCAUCAGAGUAGUUCAGUCGUUUCCUUCUGAUACUGUCAACUGGGAAUGCUGAAUCCUUGUUCACUCCUUUAAUCCUUAUGAUAUCUAUUCCUCACAUUUACCCCUGGCAAAAUUUAUCCUUAUAUUUUUACAAAAUUAGAGUGAUUACGCACAUGAAUUUACCACUCUAUCUUUUACGUGUUUCACUCAAGAUUUCGGAUCUGUCUAUUAAUUCAGGUCUAAUAUAUCUAGUUAUGUGUAUAUUACUUACAAUAGUAUUAAUACAACCCAGACAAUGAUUGCUAAGCUGGCUGCGCGAUAUAUCUAAACUUUAUUUUUAUAUUUUCUUGCUCAGUUCCUUUCAACAUUGGGAAUCUCUGUUUUCUGCCAUAAAACAUUAUAAUUUAAUCAGUUAAAUCCAAUUAUGUACAAGAUACUAAAAUUUAAGGAUUAAAGCCCAUAAAUUAAAGGUCCUAAAUCUUGUAAUUGUACUGCUCUCAGUUGGGUGCUAGUAAGAGAAGAACCCUUAGGUUGGUAGUAGUCAUUGUCUUCUUCUCUAUAGGAUAGGUUUUCGCCAACAAGUCUUGGAUGGAUGCAAUUGUUGGAGAUGUUUAGUGGCUGCUCUUCAGAUGCCGUUAGUUGUCUCGACCUGAUUUGUGUUUUUUAAUUAAUUUUUUUGAUGUCCUAUUUAGUUUUGAUUUAUCUAUUAGAUACUUAAGUUAUACAUAAGCUUAUAAAAGGACAGCUUUGUUUACACAAGUAUUCCUGAUAAUGUUAUAGGAACACACAUGUCUAGAUAUUUAUGCUAGAAAAUUACCCAGUACUUCAAUAGAAGUAACUAACAUAUCUGGUAUUCCAAUGUAGCAACAGAAACAGUUUCAGAGUAACUUUAACAUGUAAUUUGCUAUUAAUUCCUCUCUUUAAAUUUUCGAAUUUUUUUUAUUGAACUAUGGGCAUACGGUAUUUUGUUCAAUGAUUACAAGGAUUCGACUGUUUGAGUGACAGAAAAAGUCAUAUUGACAUUACUGCUUCUCUGAGUGUCUACAGUUUGUCUUUUAAUACUGUUAAUGUGUCUGAUGCUCAGUAGUCAUGCUAAUUUAUACAUUUGUGUUGCAUUUGUAGGGAGGCUGUACUUUGCCAGAAUUGUGAAGGUAAAUAUUUCCUGCUGAAUGUGCUUAUUAUUUUAGUGCUUUCUCCGGUAUAUGUUUCUGUAAAGGUGAAAAGUUGUUUACUUGUGACUGUAUAUAUAGCCGAAUUUCAUUUCACAUUCUAAACAUAUGGUUUGGGUUGAACUAAAUUUGACAACUUCAGAUGCUUCAGCUGAAGAGCUUUAAAAUGCUGAGUAUUAGCACAUCUUUAUAGUAGGAGUGUAGCUUUUAUUAUUAGGUUUGAUUUACUGGCAUCAGUAAUUUAAAUCUUCCUGUUGCCAUGCGAUAUACUAUGCUCGUGUUUGUAGUGUUUCUCUGCUGCAUAUGUAGUCAACUUUGUCAACAAGCAUAAACAUAUUGAAAAAGAGUUUGUCUAAUCUUGGGCUGCAUAUCUGUCUUCGAGUCUUAAUAUUCAAUAUUCUUUUGUUAGUUAGGUGUUUCUUGAACAGUAAAUCUAGUCUUUGUAAGAAGUCUUUAGACUUCUGUACUCAAUCUCACUUUGGGUUCUUUCUUCUUUUGAUGAGUCCAAGAUAUCAUAAGUUUCAUCUGUCUAUGGUCCUGAAUUUUGUUUGUGCAAUACAUUGUGUGAAAACCAGACCUGUCAAGGAAUUUGUGAGUUACUAAGCUGACAGCUAAAUGUCUACAUGCUCUUGGAUCAAUGUGUUCUACAGACUGCUAAAUCUGAUACGAGGGGAAAAAAAUCUGUGAAUCUUAUGUGAGUGUGUGAAAUUGAUGUUAACAGCUUCUUGGCAGUCUGUAGAAUUUUUAGAAUUUGCUCCAUUACUGGUCCGUCUAGACACGAGCAGUUCUCUUUGGGUCUAAUUCUUUUACAGAACAUGUUUUUGAUAUCAGUGACCCCUUGUCACGUCAACCAAAUUUUUGGAGUUCAGAAAAUUCCAAUCAAUAUAUGUGCUUUUUCCCUCUGCUUAUUCUACUGGUAAAAUUUUGGACUGGCUCAUACUGACUUGUCUUUAUGGUGUUGGUUAAUGACAUCUUGAUACUAAUUUUGAAGCCUGUUCCUGAUUAGUUGUUACCCAUUUUUUUGAUGAGAAGGCUGCAAGGUCCUAACCUAUAUAUCUAUACCUACAGCGAUCAUUAAUUAUAUGAUAGAAAUCUUUGAAAUGUCUGUGCUUAAAAUUUACUGUUGAAUAAGUUGCAACUUGGGUCACUUGGUUCACAUAGGUUAAUUUAAUAUAGCAGUACCUUGCAAAAAAAAAUAAAGAGGUGAUAUAGCAGGACGGUUAAAGGAUGUGCAAGAGGGAAAGUACUAUGCCUUCAUAUUGCGUCUAAAUGGUAUGUCUUUAAUAGCAUAAUACUCCCUCCAUCCCACUUAUUUUAUCCAGUGACAGAAGUCCACAAUUAUAGCAAUCAACUGAAAAUUACCAAAUUUAAGCUCACUUAACAUAUUUGCAAAUUUUAGCAAUCAACUGAAAAUCACCAAAUUUAAGCUCACUUGACAUAUUUGCAAAUUUUAACAUAUUUAAUGCUUAAUUUUCUUUUAUAAGAAAUUGUGGUUAAUACUUUUGGGACUCAAAAUAGGAAUUGUGGCCCAAAUAAUUGGGAUGGAGUGAAUAUCUGUUGUAUAGAGUCUCUGCAGAUCUUUUUUUAUUACACCCUCCGUUCCAUUUUUCUUGUCCUCCUAUCAAGAUCCACAAAUCAUAAAAAAUAACCUAUAUGUUGCCAAAUAAUUAUAUUGUUUUUCAGAAAAAUUAACAAAUUUAACAUGUAAUUUACCAUAUUAACUUAAUGUGGACAACCUUUUUGGGACAAAGAAACAAGGAAAUGAGGACUACAAAACUGGAACAGAGGUAUUUUACAAAUUGUCAAGAGCUAUAAAAACUAAUGCUUAGUUUGGUUGUGGCUUGGGAGGUAUUUAAUGAGGUAGGAAUGGACUGGAUUCAAAUCAAGGAAUUGAAUGAAGAUGGAAGAAUGAAAAAAUCUGAAUUAGUACAAAUAUUCUAUUAGGAAUAAAAUUAGUAAAGGUUUAUUUACAAACCUAAUUCCAUUCAUUUCCAAUUUCAUAUUCUCUCCAUUUCAAACCAAACAGAACAUAAUAGUUUACAUGACUGCAAAUAGUUAGAACAUGAAGACCACGAAUGCUAUCUUCUAAUUUAAGACAUUACUUGAUUAGUGCAUAUAAAACUACAUGAUUUUCCAUAAACUUGCUAACUUAUAAAAAAAAUGAUUUAUCCAUUAACUUGCUACUUGCUAAUAUAUCUGUCCCUUCAAGGAUAAAUUAUCUCAGUUUUUUCUCUGUUCCAGUUCAUACAUGUUUCUACUAUUUCACAUGUUCUAUGCAUGCUCUAGUUCUGUCUCAUUCUAGUAUAAGAUCUGUUGCCCUUUAUUGUUUGGAGCUUGCAGCCAAAGCAAUGGUGAAAGUUAUAUUAAAUCCUUGCCUGUUUCUUCUUCUUUUUUUUUUGACCACAUCUCUGGGUGCUAUAUUGUUCAUCUGCAUUAAGGCAGGUUGCUUUUUAAAAAUUUGUUCAUGCUAAGAUAAUUAGGUGUUUUAUAUGGUUUCCAGGAGUUUAAUAACUUUGACCUGACAAGUAUUAAUUCUUAUUGAGCUUUAGUGGGACCUGUUAUACUACUUAGUGUUUUCUCAGGUUUGGCAUGCUUUUUGUUGGUCUUAUAUAUGUGCAGGAUUUUUCCAUAAAAAGCAUGUGACAAAGUCUACUGGAUUAAUUAAUUCAGAAUGUACUUAUACAUGUCGUAAGUGCCAAGAUGGGGCCUGCAUCAAAGUUGGCAAAAAGAAAGGAAGGCCAAAGUUGCAAAAAGGCAGUACCUCCUUCAAGGGCAAGAGGUCACUGUCCUCUAAAAGCAGCACAGCUUCUGUCAAAGGAAAGCAACCCAGACAAUCUAAAGGCAGCAUGAAUAUUGUUGUUCCUUUGCGGCGUUCAACGAGAAAAGUUAAAUUAGUUUCACGUCAGAGCGAAAGUGUGGGAGGCCGAAAGAAAGGGAAGCAAAACACAUUCAAUAAGGGGAAGAGACCAAAGAAACCAAGAUACCCCAAGAAAGCAAAAAAAGCGAAGAUGACUCAGAAGCAAACGUAUACAAUCCCAAGUGUUUUGCAGAAGAGGAAAAGAUCGGCUGUAUGUUAUCCUUACUGGUUAAAUGGUCUUCGGCUGAGUAGGAAGCAGA